rnacentral:rRNA from 1 species
AAAUAGGACACUGGGCGAGAGACUGAUCCAUCCACACCGCGUGUGUGCAGAGGGUCUUCGGAGUGUAAAGCACUCUAAGUGCGGAGGAAGGGCUUUCGGUUAAUACCCUCAAGUUUUGCCGCUACCAAGUAAAAUCGCACCGCGUAACACCGUGCCACGAGCCGCCGUAAUACCGAAGGUGCAAGCGUUAAUCGGAAUUACUGGGGGAAAAGCGCGCGUAGGUGGUUAAGUAAAAUGGGUGUGAAAUCCCCGGGCUUAACCUGGGAACUGCUUUCAUAACUGCUGAGCUAGAGUACGGUAGAGGGUAGGGGAAUUUCCUGUGUAGCGGUGAAAUGCAUAGAUAUAGGCAAGAACACCAGUGGCGAAGGCGACUACCUGGACUGAUACUGACACUGAGGUGCGAAAGCGUGGGGAGCAAAC